UCAUCCACGAAAUACGUGUUAACGUUAACACAUAAACCCACACAUUUUAUGAAGACGUUGCAAUUAAACCUAACGAGUAAAUGCCAUAUUCCUUCGUUAAUCUGAUAGUUUUGAAAGCCGCGUUCAUGCAGCAGUUUCUACCGUUACCACGGAAACCACUUUGCGUUCGUGCGCAUGGAAAAGUAUUGAAGAUAUACUGAUAAUUUAUAACUGAUGUUAUUUAAUGAUACUACAGACUGCACUUUGUAUAUUACACUGACUUUAACGAAAACAGAAGUGCACGAAUGCAGAAUGUGCCAUGUAUGCUGUUCUCGCAUUUAUGAGACUUUGGCCACGCCCUUCUGCUCCGCUGCUUUGUGCAUGCGUAGAAGUUUCUCAUUAUUAUGAGAUACUAAUGCCGCGUUCCAGGCAACCCGUAACCCGUGUUUUUCCAACCUUCUACCCGUGAAAGUGCACUGGAACAGCAGUCAAAGCCGUGACUUCUCACCCUUGAACUCGUACUAGAUCGAUGUACUCCCAGUUACGGGUUCUAUACGUCACAUAGCCCGCGAAACAACAAUGGCAGCCCCUACGGAUGCAGUGUUUGCAAGUGCACGGUAAAAUAAAAGGUAUAACAGCUUCUCUUGCCUUAUGCGCCGUUUUCCUCCUCUGUUUCCCUCAAAUAAGCAAGGAUUAAGCACCUUUGGCGAUAGAAAUGAGCAUAUGCUGAGCAUAAGCCCCGUACGGUCCGCCAUGUUGGUUUGUUUACACUUUUAUGCAGUUUGACUCGACUUUCCUGGAACGCUACAAAGUGGUGAGUCGUGAUUUGAAAUCGUGACUUACGGGCUCAAAAACCUGCCUGGAACGCAGCAUAAGUCAUAAUUACGAGAAAGUUUCUCAUUAUUAUGAGAUGUUAAGUCAUUAUUACGAUAAACUUUCUCGUUAUUAUGAGAUACUAAGUCAUUAUUAUGAGAAAGUUUCUCAUUAUUACGAGAAAAUAAGUCAUAAUUACGAGAAAUUUUCACAUUAUUCUGACAUACUAAGAAAUAUUAUGAGAAACUUUCUCAAUAUAAUGAGAUACUAAGUCAUAAUUAUGAGAACGUUUCUCAUUAUUAUGACUUUAAGAAUUAUAUUUCUUUACUCAACUGUGGCGGAAACGGGCUUCCAUAGUAAUGUUAUAUGCUUGAGAUACCAACAUAAACAGCGACAUUUCUCCGACCUCUUCUCCCUGGCUCCAUUUCCCAGAUAGCACACAUACAUGUGGCCGACGUAGGCCCCAGAGCGGAACGUCGGCCUCAUAUCUGUAACAUCUAAUAAGGAUCGGCCAGGCAUAGGCGCGUGUCUUCAGUCAGAGCUCUAUCUCCAGCUCGUCGGCUUUGGGUCGGAUCACGACUGCAGGCCGAUAUGCCGCGCUUUUCUGUUUGCGCGUGACCAUUCAUCUCUGCAACCGACGAGAGAAAUGGCGACUCCGGCGACAUCUGUGGUUUUCAGGAGUGAAAAAAUAAAUCUACAACACCGGAGGGGGAAGAGCUGCUGACAGGAGUAACGUUAACUUUAGAAAAAUCAGUUUGUAAGGUUCUGACAUCCAAACGUAAGUAACACAGAGCAAUAUAAAAUGAAGUAAGCCUAAAACUAAUUCUGUUAAGAAAUUAUUGUAUAUAUAUUCUGUAUAUUCUACUUUCUCUUACCUGCAUUUCACCUCUGCUGUAGCUGGUUUGAUUCUAAUGAACCUGACAUUAUAUAGGCUCUGUGAUAAACUGUUUGUUAUGUUCCUAGAUUCUUCCAUGCUGAUGGCCUGCACUCUUGUCGAAGAAAAUCUCAGGCUAAAAACCAUAUAACCAGGUCUCUGGGAUCCCCAGCUGAAGGCAUGAAGACAUCAGAUAUUGGCCUGGACAGAUGUACCAACAGUACACCACACUGACCUCUGCUUUUGCAUGGAUGGCUGAUUACUACCAUGUUCUGAGAGGGUAUUACUAUAGCAAAACUGAGCACCUGUGACACUGGGAUUUCUAGUUGUAAAGAAUAAUCACACAAUGUUUUUUAGAAGUUGCAAACUUUUCUCUCUCUUUCUCUCUUACAAACAACACAACAGUUAAACCUUUUCAAAAUCUUUUCUGAUGGUGCACAAGUCCUAUUCUACGAAACAGAAAUUAAGAUAUUCAUAUGCUCACAUUUAAGCUGCGGACACAUUACUUUGAGCUUGCGAAAUUUCUUCGGACACUGUAACUGGCGUGAUAUGACGUCUGCAGAGUCUUUUUAUAAACAUGAAUUCAACAUUUAACAAAUAGUAUAUUCAAAAUAUAAAAAUAUAGUCUACUCGACUUUACUAAUUUUUUU